rnacentral:rRNA from 1 species
CACGUGGUAUCCUGUCUGAAUAUGGGGGGACCAUCCUCCAAGGCUAAAUACUCCUGACUGACCGAUAGUGAACCAGUACCGUGAGGGAAAGGCGAAAAGAACCCCGGCGAGGGGAGUGAAAAAGAACCUGAAACCGUGUACGUACAAGCAGUGGGAGCCUCUUUAUGGGGUGACUGCGUACCUUUUGUAUAAUGGGUCAGCGACUUAUAUUCUGUAGCAAGGUUAACCGAAUAGGGGAGCCGAAGGGAAACCGAGUCUUAACUGGGCGUUAAGUUGCAGGGUAUAGACCCGAAACCCGGUGAUCUAGCCAUGGGCAGGUUGAAGGUUGGGUAACACUAACUGGAGGACCGAACCGACUAAUGUUGAAAAAUUAGCGGAUGACUUGUGGCUGGGGGUGAAAGGCCAAUCAAACCGGGAGAUAGCUGGUUCUCCCCGAAAGCUAUUUAGGUAGCGCCUCGUGAAUUCAUCUCCGGGGGUAGAGCACUGUUUCGGCAAGGGGGUCAUCCCGACUUACCAACCCGAUGCAAACUGCGAAUACCGGAGAAUGUUAUCACGGGAGACACACGGCGGGUGCUAACGUCCGUCGUGAAGAGGGAAACAACCCAGACCGCCAGCUAAGGUCCCAAAGUCAUGGUUAAGUGGGAAACGAUGUGGGAAGGCCCAGACAGCCAGGAUGUUGGCUUAGAAGCAGCCAUCAUUUAAAGAAAGCGUAAUAGCUCACUGGUCGAGUCGGCCUGCGCGGAAGAUGUAACGGGGCUAAACCAUGCACCGAAGCUGCGGCAGCGACACUAUGUGUUGUUGGGUAGGGGAGCGUUCUGUAAGCCUGUGAAGGUGGCCUGUGAGGGUUGCUGGAGGUAUCAGAAGUGCGAAUGCUGACAUAAGUAACGAUAAAGCGGGUGAAAAGCCCGCUCGCCGGAAGACCAAGGGUUCCUGUCCAACGUUA